GGGAGGACCCAGGCCGCAGGGGCAACAGCCCAGACACCUGGCAGAGACGGAGCUGAGACCCGUGGGAACUCGCAGUGGCAGAGAACUCUUCCAGGCAUCGCAGGGCCAGCGUGUCAUCCACGAGCAGGUCCAGCUUCAGUUCCUGCUUCACCCGUGGAGCCAGGUGGGGCUUACCUGGCAGUACAGGUAGUAGAGCCCAGCCCGGGUGACUGUGAACGCCCCGCUCCGGCCGUCAUAGCGCAGCGGGUUGGAGCUGUUGAUCUUGGCCUCCUCCCAGCCACUCACCGUCCCGUCCACACCUGAACGCAGACGUUCAAAGAGGGGCAGGUCCCCGCACAGGGCUCGCGCGGUCCCCAGGCACCCUCCGGGUUGUGAACCCUGAGGGCCCACCUGACCCAGAAGAUCCACAGAUGGCCCAGGACAAGGGAGGACCCAUGGCCUUGGGGGCCCAUCGUGUCAUGGGAAGUUACGUGAGGAAACCUGACCUAGCAACCAAAAGAGAAAAGAAGAACAGAAACUAGAAGCAUUUUGAGAAAAAUGGUCCGCGCAUGAAGAUAUGGAGGGGAAGGACAGGAAAAAAUCCAAGGCUGGGAGUGGCGCUUGGGACCUGGAAGCUCAACAGGGACCUGGGAGUUCUACAUCCUCUACACCCCGGAGCUGCCUAUUGUCGUGGAAAGAUUAACAACCUUGUUGCAGAAACCUGAGGCACCAGCCUUUUACGUACUCCCAGGCAUUUGCAGACCCCCAGCCCGCAUUGCCUGUAAACUGUCCAUUUUGCAUACCCAUUCUUUUCCUUUUUUGCCUACUUCCCCAAGUAAUCUCUGUGACAGGUGAAGUAGGGUAGCAAUCAUCUCAGGUAGAAACUGUAGUUUAACCCUGCUGUUUGGCUUACCAAUAGAAAAGUUAUUUUGAUUUUCUGAAUUACAUAAAUCAUCCCAUUAGAUUGAAUGCCUUAUUGAUUGUAAAGUGAAUAUCCCAUUGAUUGUGAUCUUACUGGUUUUAGAAAGCACAUUCCUCUGUACCUGGGAACCAGGACAGCACAAUUAUCCCAAGACCCGAGGGUUCCAGAUAAUGUGUCCCUGUCAACUCAGUGGUCCGAAGACCCAAAGCUAUAAUUAAUCUAUGUAGAUAACUAAUUGGCUCCAUCUCGCUUCUGUAACUGCUUUGUGCAAACCAGGGUCCUCAUUCAAACCCUGGGAUGUAAUCAAUACCUCUAUGCUCUUUGCCUGUAUAAAUCUGGUGUUGGGGCUGGGGAGGGCACUGCGAGAUUUGGGAGAGCAAAAGGCCCCCUCGUAGUCCCGGAUUGCAAUAAAUGUGACUCUUUA